rnacentral:rRNA from 1 species
UACGUAGGGUGCGAGCGUUGUCCGGAAUUAUUGGGCGUAAAGAGCUCGUAGGCGGUGUGUCGCGUCGGCCGUGAAAACCUGCAGCUUAACUGUGGGCGUGCGGUCGAUACGGGCAUCACUGGAGUUCGGCAGGGGAGACUGGAAUUCCUGGUGUAGCGGUGGAAUGCGCAGAUAUCAGGAGGAACACCGGUGGCGAAGGCGGGUCUCUGGGCAGUAACUGACGCUGAGGAGCGAAGGCGUGGGUAGCGAACAGG